rnacentral:snRNA from 1 species
ACAUGUGAAGGAAUCUGACUGUGACAUCCAUCACCCCAUUGAUCUACAAGACUGAUCCAGAUAAUCUGGCUGGCUAGGCAGGCUUCCCAUUCCUCCCCCAACACUCUACGUACAUCCCUCCCAAAGGUGUUCACUCGGUUGAAGAGGAUGGCCUUCCUGGAUAGAGGAGGACCAGUCUUAGAUCAAGGGUGUAGGAGUAGCUGCGCUCUCCUGCUAGAAUGUAAAAUGAGCUCUCUAGAUUCCCUAACUUAGCUAUUAUGAUGACUGCAGUGAUGUACACAAGUGUGUGGGUAUCCCUAC